rnacentral:rRNA from 1 species
AACGAACGCUGGCGGCAUGCCUAACACAUGUAAGUCGAACGAGACCUUCGGGUCUAGUGGCGCCCGGGUGCGUAACGCGUGGGAACCUGCCCUUAGGUUCGGAAUAACUCCCCGAAAGGGGUGCUAAUACCGGAUAAUGUCUUCGGACCAAAGAUUUAUCGCCUUUGGAUGGGCCCGCGUUGGAUUAGCUAGUUGGUAGGGUAAAAGCCUACCAAGGCGACGAUCCAUAGCUGGUCUGAGAGGAUGAUCAGCCACACUGGGACUGAGACACGGCCCAGACUCCUACGGGAGGCAGCAGUGGGGAAUAUUGGACAAUGGGCGAAAGCCUGAUCCAGCAAUGCCGCGUGAGUGAUGAAGGCCUUAGGGUUGUAAAGCUCUUUUACCCAGGAUGAUAAUGACAGUACCGGGAGAAUAAGCUCCGGCUAACUCCGUG